GUGCUUGUUUCGGCAGCACAUAUACUAAAUUGGAAUGAUACAGAGAUUAGCAUGACCCCUGUGAAAGGAUGACACGCAAAUGCAUGAAGUGUUCCUUUUUUUU
rnacentral:snRNA from 1 species